CAUCAGGCCCUUUUCAGGGCCACCAAUACCUCAAACUGGUCAUUG
rfam:Operophtera brumata OBRT01_Sc15937, whole genome shotgun sequence.